AGCGAACGCUGGCGGCAGGCUUAACACAUGCAAGUCGAGCGGGCGUAGCAAUACGUCAGCGGCAGACGGGUGAGUAACGCGUGGGAACGUACCUUUUGGUUCGGGAUAACCCAGGGAAACUUGGGCUAAUACCGGAUAAGCCCUUUACGGGGAAAGAUUUAUCGCCGAAAGAUCGGCCCGCGUCUGAUUAGCUAGUUGGUGAGGUAACGGCUCACCAAGGCGACGAUCAGUAGCUGGUCUGAGAGGAUGAUCAGCCACAUUGGGACUGAGACACGGCCCAAACUCCUACGGGAGGCAGCAGUGGGGAAUAUUGGACAAUGGGCGCAAGCCUGAUCCAGCCAUGCCGCGUGAGUGAUGAAGGCCUAGGGUUGUAAAGCUCUUUUGUGCGGGAAGAUAAUGACGGUACCGCAAGAAUAA
rnacentral:rRNA from 1 species